rnacentral:rRNA from 1 species
CAGUAGCCGCGGAAAUACGAAGGGGGCUAGCGUUGUUCGGAAUUACUGGGCGUAAAGCGCACGUAGGCGGAUACUUAAGUCAGGGGUGAAAUCCCGGGGCUCAACCCCGGAACUGCCUUUGAUACUGGGUAUCUCGAGUCCGGAAGAGGUGAGUGGAAUUCCGAGUGUAGAGGUGAAAUUCGUAGAUAUUCGGAGGAACACCAGUGGCGAAGGCGGCUCACUGGUCCGGUACUGACGCUGAGGUGCGAAAGCGUGGGGAGCAAACAGGAUUAGAUACCCCUGUAGUCCCUGUCUCUUAUAA